CCUGUAGCGCAAUGGAUAGCGCGUUGGACUUCGAAUCCAAAGGUCAUGGACUCGAAUGGACAUGGGGUGGU